rnacentral:pre_miRNA from 1 species
GUAGUACUCCCUCCGUCCCAAAAUUCUUGUCUUAGAUUUGUCUAAAUACGGAUGUAUCAAGUCACGUUUUAGUAUUAGGUACAUCCGUAUCUAGACAAAUCUAAGACAAGAAUUUUGGGACGGAGGGAGCAGAUC